UGGAGCAUGUUGGUUUAAUUACGAGACACGACGAAGACCUUACCAAGUCUUGACAUCGGAAUGACCGUCCCGUAACUGGGGCUUCCCUUCGGGGCAUUCCAGACAGGUGGUGCAUGGUUGUCGUCAGCUCGUGUCGUGAGAUGUUGGGUUAAGUCCCGCAACGAGCGCAACCCUUAUCCUUAGUAGCCAGCAGUUCGGCUGGGCACUCUGGGGAGACUGCCAGGGAUAACCUGGAGGAAGGUGGGGAUGACGUCAAAUCAUCAUGCCCCUUAUGAUUUGGGCUACACACGUGCUACAAUGGCGUAAACAAAGGGAAGCAAGGGAGUGAUCCGGAGCAAAUCUCAAAAAUAACGUCUCAGUUCGGAUUGUAGUCUGCAACUCGACUACAUGAAGCUGGAAUCGCUAGUAAUCGCGGAUCAGAAUGCCGCGGUGAAUACGUUCCCGGGUCUU
rnacentral:rRNA from 1 species